rnacentral:rRNA from 1 species
CAGCAGCCGCGGGAAUACGUAGGUGGCAAGCGUUGUCCGGAAUUAUUGGGCGUAAAGGGCUCGCAGGCGGUUUCUUAAGUCUGAUGUGAAAGCCCCCGGCUCAACCGGGGAGGGUCAUUGGAAACUGGGAAGCUUGAGUGCAGAAGAGGAGAGUGGAAUUCCACGUGUAGCGGUGAAAUGCGUAGAGAUGUGGAGGAACACCAGUGGCGAAGGCGACUCUCUGGUCUGUAACUGACGCUGAGGAGCGGAAGCGUGGGGAGCGAACAGGAUUAGAUACCCCAGUAGUCCCUGUCUCUUAUAC